rnacentral:rRNA from 1 species
ACGCUUCUUUCCUCCCAAGUGCUUGCACUCAAUUGGAAAGAGGAGUGGCGGACGGGUGAGUAACACGUGGGUAACCUACCCAUCAGAGGGGGAUAACACUUGGAAACAGGUGCUAAUACCGCAUAACAGUUUAUGCCGCAUGGCAUAAGAGUGAAAGGCGCUUUCGGGUGUCGCUGAUGGAUGGACCCGCGGUGCAUUAGCUAGUUGGUGAGGUAACGGCUCACCAAGGCCACGAUGCAUAGCCGACCUGAGAGGGUGAUCGGCCACACUGGGACUGAGACACGGCCCAGACUCCUACGGGAGGCAGCAGUAGGGAAUCUUCGGCAAUGGACGAAAGUCUGACCGAGCAACGCCGCGUGAGUGAGGAAGGUUUUCGGAUCGUAAAACUCUGUUGUUAGAGAAGAACAAGGACGUUAGUAACUGAACGUCCCCUGACGGUAUCUAACCAGAAAGCCACGGCUAACUACGUGCCAGCAGCCGCGGUAAUACGUAGGUGGCAAGCGUUGUCCGGAUUUAUUGGGCGUAAAGCGAGCGCAGGCGGUUUCUUAAGUCUUGAUGUGAAAGCCCCCGGCUCAACCGGGGA